UAUUUCACCCUUACAAUGUCCAUUGAUUAAG
rnacentral:miRNA from 1 species